rnacentral:rRNA from 1 species
GAGUUUGAUCGUGGCUCAGAUUGAACGCUGGCGGCAUGCCUUACACAUGCAAGUCGAACGGCAGCAUGAUCUAGCUUGCUAGAUUGAUGGCGAGUGGCGAACGGGUGAGUAAUACAUCGGAACGUGCCCUGUAGUGGGGAUAACUAGUCGAAAGAUUAGCUAAUACCGCAUACGACCUGAGGGUGAAAGUGGGGGACCGCAAGGCCUCAUGCUAUAGGAGCGGCCGAUGUCUGAUUAGCUAGUUGGUGGGGUAAAGGCCCGACCAAGGCGACGAUCAGUAGCUGGUCUGAGAGGACGAUCAGCCACACUGGGACUGAGACACGGCCCAGACUCCUACGGAGGCAGCAGUGGGAAUUUGGCAAUGGCGAAAGCCUGAUCCAGCAAUGCCGCGUGUGUGAAGAAGGCCUCGG